AGAGUUUGAUCCUGGCUCAGAACGAACGCUGGCGGCAGGCCUAAUACAUGCAAGUCGAGCGCGCCCUUCGGGGUGAGCGGCGGACGGGUGAGUAACGCGUGGGAAUAUGCCCUUCUCUAAGGAAUAGCCUCGGGAAACUGAGAGUAAUACCUUAUACGCCCUACGGGGGAAAGAUUUAUCGGAGAAGGAUUAGCCCGCGUUAGAUUAGGUAGUUGGUGGGGUAAUGGCCUACCAAGCCUACGAUCUAUAGCUGGUUUGAGAGGAUGAUCAGCCACACUGGGACUGAGACACGGCCCAGACUCCUACGGGAGGCAGCAGUAGGGAAUCUUAGACAAUGGGGGAAACCCUGAUCUAGCCAUGCCGCGUGUGUGAUGAAGGCCUUAGGGUCGUAAAGCACUUUCGCCAGAGAUGAUAAUGACAGUAUCUGGUAAAGAAACCCCGGCUAACUCCGUGCCAGCAGCCGCGGUAAUACGGAGGGGGUUAGCGUUGUUCGGAAUUACUGGGCGUAAAGCGCACGUAGGCGGAUUAGUAAGUUAGAGGUGAAAUCCCAGGGCUCAACCCUGGAACUGCCUUUAAUACUGCUAGUCUUGAGUUCGAGAGAGGUAAGUGGAAUUCCGAGUGUAGAGGUGAAAUUCGUAGAUAUUCGGAGGAACACCAGUGGCGAAGGCGGCUUACUGGCUCGAUACUGACGCUGAGGUGCGAAAGUGUGGGGAGCAAACAGGAUUAGAUACCCUGGUAGUCCACACCGUAAACGAUGAAUGCCAGACGUCAGCAAGUAUACUUGUUGGUGUCACACCUAACGGAUUAAGC
rnacentral:rRNA from 2 species